rnacentral:rRNA from 1 species
GUUGGGAAUAUUGGACAAUGGGAGAAAUCCUGAUCCAGCAAUCCCGCGUGAGUGAUGAAGGCCUUCGGGUCGUAAAGCUCUUUAAGGGGGGAAGAAGGGAAACUUGACGGUACCCCCAGAAUAAGCACCGGCUAACUCUGUGCCAGCAGCCGCGGUAAUACAGAGGGUGCAAGCGUUGUUCGGAAUUAUUGGGCGUAAAGCGCGUGUAGGUGGCUUUCUAAGUCUGGUGUGAAAGCCCGGGGCUCAACCCCGGAAGUGCACUGGAUACUGGAAAGCUAGAGGGCGAGAGAGGAGAUUGGAAUUCAUGGUGUAGGGGUGAAAUCCGUAGAUAUCAUGAGGAACAUCUGUGGCGAAGGCGAAUCUCUGGCUCGUUUCUGACACUGAGACGCGAAAGCGUGGGGAGCAAACAGGAUUAGAUACCCUUGUAGUCC